rnacentral:rRNA from 1 species
UACAGAGGUCCCAAGCGUUGUUCGGAUUCACUGGGCGUAAAGGGCGCGCAGGCGGAUUGGCAAGUUCGAUGUGAAAGCCCCGGGCUUAACCCGGGAAUGGCAUUGGAUACUGCUGAUCUGGAGGAUCGGAGGGGGGACUGGAAUUCUUGGUGUAGCAGUGAAAUGCGUAGAUAUCAAGAGGAACACCAGUGGCGAAGGCGAGUCCCUGGACGAAACCUGACGCUGAGGCACGAAAGCCAAGGGAGCAAACAGG